rnacentral:rRNA from 1 species
CGUGUAGGCGGUUUGUUAAGUCUGGCGUGAAAGCUCUCGGCUAAACCGGGAGAGGUCGUUGGAUACUGGCAAACUUGAGGAUGGUAGAGGCGUGUGGAAUUCCGGGUGUAGUGGUGAAAUGCGUAGAGAUCCGGAGGAACACCAGUGGCGAAGGCGACACGCUGGGCCAUACCUGACGCUAAAGCGCGACAGCAUGGGGAGCAAACGGGAUUAGAAACCCCGGUAGUCCAUGCCGUAAACGAUGCCAGCUAGGUGUUCAGGGGGCGCAAGCUCUCGGGGUACCGAAGCAAACGCGAUAAGCUGGCCGCCUGGGGAGUACGGUCGCAAGGCUAAA